AAAGAUGGUUGACCAUAGGACAUGCGCUAGCUCGGUGUCGUAUGUAAUAUGGUCCACGUCUUCU
rfam:Heterocephalus glaber contig273937, whole genome shotgun sequence.